rnacentral:lncRNA from 1 species
CAUGUUUAGAGGACAUUUAAGCUGUGUGCUGGUUGAGACCCACCUUCGUGAGGCUCAGGCUCAGCUGCUCUUCCCCAGCGUUCUUCAGGCCCCUUUCCCACUGGUCGGAGCAACUUACUGGAAGCAGCACGGUUGAAAGAGCCCUCGGCUGGGAGCCCAGAUGACUGGCUUUGUGAUCUUGGGCAAGCCACUUAACCUCCAGGAUCCACGCUGCCUUCAUCUGCAAAAUGGGGAGGUCAGGUGGGGUGUUGGUUCCACUCUCUCUCAGCACUAAUGAUCUAGCUUCUUAAAGUCAAUUCCUUCCCCUGCUCCUAUCAAAGAAGUGAGGCAGAGAGAGGUGGGGAGGGUUGCCUGCUUGGAUCAAAGUGUUGCCUCCCAGAGUCCUUGCCUUCAGUCUGUGGGACUUUCUCAUCCUGCCUCUUAAAAACUAAAAGGAAGAGGAAUGUGAUCAUUGAAAACCCUUGUGGAUUCUGGGGUGGGACUUGAUCAAUACUUGCUCACCUACUCAGAGCCUAAGCAUAAGCUCGUCUUUGGGGAACGAGAGAGAAUUAGUCAAAAGAAAGAAGAAAGGAAUAACAAUAAUAAUAAAGAGAUGAUUCAUUUCCUGCUCUUAAGAAACUCAUAUUCUAAUUGCUCAAUAAAGCGUAACAUUAUCGGACCCUUACUAUGCACUAAGAAAUGAGUGUAAGAUAAAUGUGGUAUAUCAUUUAAUUCUCUUUUAAAAUGCUAGAUACUCCCU